rnacentral:rRNA from 1 species
CGACCGGCGCACGGGUGAGUAACACGUAUGGAACCUGCCCUAUGCAGGGGGAUAAGCGGAAGAAAUUCCGUCUAAUACCGCAUAACACCUUUAGGAGACACCUUCUUGGGGUCAAAGGAGGCGACUCCGGCAUAGGAUGGCCAUGCGUCGCAUUAGCUAGUCGGCGGGGUAACGGCCCACCGAGGCGACGAUGCGUAGGGGUUCUGAGAGGAAGGUCCCCCACACUGGUACUGAGACACGGACCAGACUCCUACGGAAGGCAGCAG